rnacentral:rRNA from 1 species
UACGUAGGGGGGCAAGCGUUGUCCGGAUUUAUUGGGCGUAAAGAGCGUGUAGGCGGCCAGGUAGGUCGGUUGUGAAAACUAGAGGCUUAACCUCUAGACGUCGACCGAAAACCAUCUGGCUAGAGUCCGGAAGAGGAGAGUGGAAUUCCUGGUGUAGCGGUGAAAUGCGCAGAUAUCAGGAAGAACACCCGUGGCGAAAGCGGCUCUCUGGGACGGUACUGACGCUGAGACGCGAAAAGCGUGGGGAGCGAACAGG